rnacentral:rRNA from 1 species
UACGAAGGGGGCUAGCGUUGCUCGGAAUCACUGGGCGUAAAGGGUGCGUAGGCGGGUCUUUAAGUCAGGGGUGAAAUCCUGGAGCUCAACUCCAGAACUGCCUUUGAUACUGAGGAUCUUGAGUUCGGGAGAGGUGAGUGGAACUGCGAGUGUAGAGGUGAAAUUCGUAGAUAUUCGCAAGAACACCAGUGGCGAAGGCGGCUACCUGGCACAUAACUGACGCUGAUACGCGAAAGCGUGGGGAGCGAACCGG